rnacentral:rRNA from 1 species
AAAGGUAGCAUAAUCAUUUGGCUUAUAAUUGAAGUCUAGCAUGAAUGAAUAAAUGGGGAACAUCUGUCUAUAAUAUUUUACUAGAAUUUAAUUAAUAAGUGAAAAUUCUUAUAAAUAAAUAAAAGACGAGAAGACCCUAGAAAUUUUAUUUAUUCUAGUAUAAUACUAUAUCAUUUUGUUGGGGCGACAGAAUAACAGAUAACUUAUUUUAUUUAAUUAGCAUUAUAUAUUAUGUAAAAUUAAAUUACUCUAGGGAUAACAGCAUAAUUUAUAAAAGUUUGUGACCUCGAUGUUGGACUAGGAAAUUUAAUAUUCAAAAGGUAUUAAAAUUUGCUCUGUUCGAGCAUUAACUCCUACAU